GCCUCCUCCCCCACUCCUCCCUCUCUCCUGGUCACAGUUGUAGCAAGUCUCGUCUCUGUGGUUCUCUUGGUUCUAGUUGUGGGUGGAGUUCUGUUCUUCUGCAGGGAAAUCAAAGGAGGUCGGGGAGCAGACCUGUGGAGGUGUGGAGGUGACGGCUGUCUGAGACGGAGCGUCUGCCUCUGCUUUUCAGGCCUGUUUCUGCUGACCGCUGCAGGUGUGUGUGCUGCUGGUGAGGGAUUUUUUUAUUUUUUCUAUAGGUCCUCCACUUCUUUUUUCUGAGUCUGUGCUCACACUCUUCUGCCAUCUAGUGGUCUUCUGUCUGUACUGCAUCUCUACUGGUCUGCUGCUGUCCAUCUACUGUAGCAGGAAGACACGGGACAAACAACCUGUUUCCAUGGAGAUGACCCAGCGUGAUGGAGAAGGUCAGCAAUUGCAGCCAUUGGAUGAAGAGUGUGAUGACUUUACUGCUAAUAUCACCACUGAGCAUGCCUUCUGAGCUGCAGAGGCUGUUUUGCCAUGAAGUUGUGUUUGCUUUCAUGGUGGAUGUUCCUGAGUGUUCCUGGAUUCAUGUAUUCAUAACUUUGAUAUGUAGCUGCUGAAGGUGAAUUCUUUAAAUGACUCCAACCUCUGCUGGGCUGUGUAUGAGCAAACAAACAUCUUAAAGGGCUUUUCUGCCUUCAGCUUCUUGUAGAGUCAUUAGCUGAGCUCACCUUUGCUAGCAUGAGUGUAUCUUAUUCAGAAAUCUCUUUGGUAGAGCUGCUGAACAAUAAGUAGCUGGAUUAUGUCGUUUUACAGCUUGUAACCUGAAAG